rnacentral:rRNA from 1 species
GACAGAGGGUGCAAACGUUGUUCGGAAUUACUGGGCGUAAAGCGCGUGUAGGCGGCUAAGUAAGUCGGGCGUGAAAUCCCACGGCUCAACCGUGGAAGUGCACUCGAAACUGCAUAGCUAGAGUCCUGGAGAGGAAAGUGGAAUUCCACGUGUAGCGGUGAAAUGCGUAGAGAUGUGGAGGAACACCAGUGGCGAAGGCGACUUUCUGGCCUAUAACUGACGCUGAGGCGCGAAAGCGUGGGGAGCAAACAGG